rnacentral:lncRNA from 1 species
CGUAUCUUUUGAAAAAUAAAUAUGCUAUGAUGCAAAUGAUGCAGACUGGACUGGCUGGUUGUGCAAACUCUGAUCACUAGGUCGAAGCUUCGGUCUAAACUCGGAAUCCAAAUCCAACUUGAAAACCCAAGGUCAACUGAAUACACUGUUGUCUGAACCCAAAGUCACCAACAGAAUCACAAGUCACCAACGGUACCUGUAAUAAUGAACCCUUCCCCACUCACGGGUGUCGUCUAGGCCAG